rnacentral:rRNA from 1 species
GUGGGGAAUCUUCCGCAAUGGACGAAAGUCUGACGGAGCAACGCCGCGUGAGUGAAGAAGGUUUUCGGAUCGUAAAGCUCUUUCGUUAGGGACGAACGUGCUCUUUGUGAAUAAUGAGGAGUAAUGACGGUACCUAAAUAAGAAGCCACGGCUAACUACGUGCCAGCAGCCGCGGUAAUACGUAGGGGGCAAGCGUUUUCCGGAAUUAUUGGGCGUAAAGCGCGCGCAGGCGGGAUAUCAAGUCUGUCUUAAAAGUGCGAGGCUCAACCUCGUGAGGGGACAGAAACUGGUAUUCUUGAGUGUCGGAGAGGAAAGUGGAAUUCCAAGUGUAGCGGUGAAAUGCGUAGAGAUUUGGAAGAACACCAGUGGCGAAGGCGACUUUCUGGACGAUGUCUGACGCUGAGGCGCGAAAGCUAGGGGAGCGAACGGGAUUAGAUACCCGUGUAGUCC